rnacentral:rRNA from 1 species
UACGGAGGAUGCAAGCGUUAUCCGGAUUUAUUGGGUUUAAAGGGUGCGCAGGCGGUGCCUUAAGUCAGCGGUGAAAUGUCCCGGCUCAACCGGGGAGCUGCCGUUGAUACUGGGGUGCUGGAGUGCGGACGGCGCCGGCGGAAUGUGUCAUGUAGCGGUGAAAUGCAUAGAUAUGACACAGAACACCGAUCGCGAAGGCAGCUGGCGAGGCCGUAACUGACGCUGAGGCACGAAAGCGUGGGGAUCAAAC